CAAUAGAAAUUUAUUUUCUCACAGUUCUGGAGGCUGGAAAUCCAAGUUCAAGGUGCUGGCAGACUUGGUUCUCCUGAGGCCUCUCUCCUUGGCUUGCCGACAGCUACCUUCUUGCUGUGUCUUCCCAAGGCCUUU
rnacentral:miRNA from 1 species